rnacentral:tRNA from 1 species
CGUUCCCCCAGGCAGGGGAGUCGUACCGGCGACCCUCUCAAGGUGGAGACACGGGUUCGAAACUCGUUGGGACAGC